CCUACGCGAGGCAGCAGUGAGGAAUAUUGGUCAAUGGGCGCGAGCCUGAACCAGCCACGUAGCGUGAAGGAUGACUUCCCUACGGGUUGUAAACUUCUUUUAUAAAGGAAUAAAGUGAGGCACGUGUGCCUGUUUGUAUGUACUUUAUGAAUAAAGAUCGGCUAACUCCGUGCCAGCAGCCGCGGUAAUACGGAGGAUCCGAGCGUUAUCCGGAUUUAUUGGGUUUAAAGGGGGCGUAGAUGGGUUGUUAAGUCCGUUGUGAAAGUUUGCUGCUCAACCGUAAAAUUGCAAUUGAUACUGGCAGCCUUGAGUACAGGUGAGGUAGGCGGAAUUCGUGGUGUAGCGGUGAAAUGCUUAGAUAUCACGAAGAACUCCGAUGGCGAAGGCAGCCUACUAAACGGCCACUGACAUUGAUGCUCGAAAGUGUGGGGAUCAAACAGGAUUAGAUACCCCUGUAGUC
rnacentral:rRNA from 1 species